CGCUGUCGAUCCUAUCCCCGAUCUCCAUCCUCUCGAUAGUUCUUUCGUUGCCGCCCACACGGGCAGACCCCGCCGCCGCCGAGGGGAGGGGACGAAACCGGAGACGCCGCCGCCUCCGUCCGACGGGAGAAGCAGGGGAGAAGCCGUCGUCCGAGGAGAGACCCUGCCGCCGCGGAUCCAGGGCAGGGCGGCUUGAAUCCCUGUCCCCGGGGUCGCCCCCGCCGAUCUCCGGGAGACGCCGUCAUCCCCGCCGCGUCUCCAGGGCAGGGCGGUUUCAAUUCACCUCACCCUCCAGAGGGGCUCCGAGACCAGGCCAGGAUCCCCUGUAGCCUGGGGAGGGGUUCAGUGACCCGUCCGAAGCGGAACUCGUCUACGACCACAUGCUCUGGGCGGUCCUGCACGAGGCUUUCAACUGCAGCAACGUGGACAUCUACGGGAGGCUGGCGAUUGGGAAAUCUACCGCAUUAUUCUUGUGUGAAGAGUGGACUGCCACACCUGUUUGCGAAGCCCUUGGUGACAUUGCUGAUGUAUCUGUGGCAGCUAUUUUGUUCUGGGGUCAAAGGAUUAUGUAAUGGUGCAAGGUGAGAUACUUGAAGGUCUGGUUGCCUGUAUUGUCAGACGUGAAAGUUUUGAGAAACCUCCCACAACCUUCAUUAGAUAUCCUAACAGAUUUUCUGAUGCAUUUGAACAUUUUCUCAGAUUGUUUGAUGCUUCUGAUCUGUGAAGUUGAAAACACUUUAUAUGCCUACUGAUUCAGAAAGCUACCAUUAUAUGCAGGCGACUCUGAUUUAGGACCAAGUUUAUGACAAAUACAUGCUGCUAAUAGGUCAGAUGAGAAGCAGCAAAUGAAAGCACUUUUUGAAAAUGUUGGAUCUUCAAUGUGUUCGGACCACUGUGAUUGGUUUGGAAACAGUGGUCUUGAGGCGAUGUCUCGAAAUGCUGAUACAUUACCCGUCAUCCAUUUUCUACAACUGCGUCCAACGAACUAUGAAAUUAAGAAAUUACAGGUUAGCUCAUUUUAUUGGUUCUUGUCCAACAAUAGAUUGUUCUUGACUGUAAUGGACAUACUUCCAUUUUAAAUGCAUGAUAACUAUAAUAUCAGAAAGCGAAUAGCUUGUUAGAUAGUAAUUCAGUUCUUCCUGUUUUGAACUGUUACAAGAGAUGUUUCAUCUGGUGAAGCAGAAAAAUUUCCCUGCAGCUUUCAGAUGUUACUGGAAUAAUAAAAAAAUUGAUUCUCUUUCAAAUGAUUACUUGUACUACAAUGCUUAUCCAUGGGCACAGUGAUUCUGCUUUUGGACAUUAUCAGCAAGAGAUGAGGUAAAUUUGCGAAAUCAUCCUUGUAUUACAAGAUGCUUAUCCAUGGACGUUUAAAUUUUCACCCGUCUUUAAAAAUAUAAUGCCUUCAUUCAUACGUUAUGAUUUUUUUCUCUCGCUUUUGCCAUUUUUUAUUUCUCACCUACCUUCACCACUUAUGAUUAAAUCCGCAUACUAAAACUUCUCUCCUUCCCUAGACAAUGACUUCAUGGCUACCAUGACCAUCUUCCUAUACUAUUAAUGGCUUAUUUAUUUCCCAUGUCUGAAUAAGUUACACUUUAUAAUAUGAAAUGGAUAGAGUAUCUCAUUAGUAUAUGGAAAUAUCUCUUCUUUCUUCUUCUUUUUUUAGAUUUAUUAACUCUAAUGGAUCCCCCAUUUUCCUUUCUAGGAAAAAUCAAGAGCAUGCAUAUUUAGUACUGUACUUUAUAAGAAGCAGUUUCCUUUCCAACCCAUACAAUCUCCAUAGUACACUAUGUUCUACUAGUAUAUGGUACGUGCUAUGCACGUGAUGUUUUGUGAUCAAACAACAAUCAAGUUUACACCAUACAAUUGUACAUCGUCAACUCAUCAUUGGUGGCUUCAUGCCAUAUGACUUUACACGAUGGGUGCUUCACAAAACAGCCGCAAAAGUUCUUGCAUAGAACUUUUACUUUCAUCAACAACAGAACUCCAGAAAUAUCGUGUCCAACUUGUUUUGGUGCGUAGCCGCACCAAGCGAAUUCCAAAAAUCAGGGCCGUUGGGUCACUUGAAAUCAAUGGCUAAUAAAUGCUUCUAUAUCACGGCGGGUGAUGAGUCCAAAUUAAAAAAUUCAUGUACUGCGUGUGGAUUUAGGGAUUAUUACUGGAGACAAUGGAAAAACUUGAAUCAUGUUUGUAAAAUGAAUUUAUAAGAGAAUGUAAUAGCUAUUUAAUUACAACAUAUAUUAAGCUUUCACUUUAUUUGUGUUUGUAAUCUCAUAACCAGGCGGAUCAAUCAAUUGAAAAAAAGAAGAUAAUGAAUAGUAGUAUUAAGCAUAUGAUUAUUUGUACUAAAUAAAAUCCCUUCAGUUAACAUUUUGCCCUUACCGUGGCUGCACUGCUGCAUGCACUUCUCCGUCUCUGUCCCAUCACGUGUAGCAGUACUUUUGCAUGGUGGAAUUUCUUGCCAGUAGUAGUACUCUAGGGUAGCACUCUCAUGGGAGCCUACCGGAGAUUUCUAGGAUGCUGUGUCCGGCGGAAGAUUCACGAACCUGCAUGUACUCUCUACUGCGGUGGAAGUCUGCCAGCGAAGGGUGUGCACACUGCGAAUCCCUCCAUUGUGGGCCGUCCGAUCACUCCAUCUGACGGUCUAUAAGAGGCCACAUAGUCCUCUAUCUAAACCAAUUGAGUGCGAGCCGUCGGAUUACAAAGAUCCAACGGUCUAUAUAUCUUCAUAUUGAUACACUAUAUAGGAGUAUAUAUAUGUUCUAUUGUGUGGUUGUUGGUAUUCUAAAAACACUUCUAUGAUAAGCCUAGCAUUCUGUGUCCACAGCCAGGAGGCCUGUAAGAGUUACUAAUUUAAGAUAAUACUGACGCGCCCAAUUCAUCAUAUAAUACCAAUAAACGUGAUAAUGUGAGUCGGGGAGUACAAGUCCGUCGCAGCAAAGUUUGCAUCAACACAAUGGAAGUGGUAUUCUGUAGAAAAAUAGCAGCCAUCAUCUCACAGACACCUGUACAAUUACUUACAAGAGCAAUCAUGUAGUUAGAACGACAUAUUAGUAUAGUUUUGCUAUAACUGAGGCUAAGUUCUGCCGUAAUGUUCUUGUUGCUGAUAGCAUGUGUAUUGAUGAAAAGUUAGAUGACAUGGAUGCUUAUGAGAUUCUCUGUGUAGGUGCUUUCAUCUGAUAAUUUUGAUAUUUUAUUUACUGAAUAAUCUUCCGAGAAUCAGGUUUGUAAAAGAAGACCUUAUCCAUGGCUGCAUUUUUCCCUUGUGGGUAUUAUGAAUUGUUCAAUUCGUUUUUUGUUAACUGCUCAAGUAACUUUCUAGCAUUUGAAGAGUCGUAUUAUCUUAUGAAUUGCUUUAAACUUUGUAUGUGUUCUUCAGAAUUAUUUUAAGGACUUGACACUUUGGAAUCUGAGACUAUCUCUGAAUCUCCAAGUGGAAUAGGGGUUAUACGGAUUGAAGAUAACAAAGCGCGUACAUAUAUGUUCAUUCCUACAUGCUGACACCAGGUCAAUGAAUUUGUCAAGAUUGCUAGAGCUGCAAACAUCCGUGCUUACAUAAUUUUCCAACUGAAGAAUGACAUAACUGCAAUGACGGGGAAAGCCAAGGCUCAACGGCGACUCAUUGACAGCUUACAUGAUGAGUAGGGAACCUGAUGGGCUACCCUCUUAGAAAUUUGCUUGGUAAAGGCCUCAUGUCACUUGGCAUCAAAGAGCUCAAGCUUCUUGAAAAGCAACUUGAUUCAUCCUCAAGGUACAUAAGAUCCAAAAGACUAAUUGAUUUCUUUCAGUAUAAUCAUGAUUCAGAAGAAAGGAGCACUAGCUCUUUCGUUGUCUAUAGAAAACAGUACAAAUUGUUCCUUUGUUCUGCUUAUUUCUACUGUGUUAAAUAAUAAUAGGCAAUAUUAUGCUGCUAGAUGUAGGGUUUCAUGAUCACUUUUGACCUGUGUUGUAGGUAGAUUACACCUAUUUUUGUCUUGCUUUGAUUUUAAGUAAAAUUGAGCUGGGCGUGUGCUCUGUUCAAACAAUAAACAAAAUAGAGUAUCCUCAUGCUGUAAAUAUACCUCAGUUUUUUUUCAAUUUACUUAACACAUCUCAGGUUAGUGAGAUGCUCUGUACACUACAUCUAUUGAACUAUGUGCAGUUUUCAGCUUGAUGUCUUUGAUUUAACGUCAUUAUUCUAGGACUGGAAUAUUUAGCAUUUGACAUAUUGAUUCCAGUAAUGCAAUUAAUGCAUUGUAAAAACUAGGAAUAAUUUGGCUGUGUCGUCCUCGAUAUGUUAUGACACAAAAAUGUUGAUCAUUUUCACGAUUGCAGACACAUCAUAUGCUUCAUCAUCUCACUGGUCUCUAGAGCAAGGUAGGCUCUUAACAAAAUAAAUUUUAUCAUAUUAUGUAUUCAUAAAUUUUCUCACACAAAUUUAUUCAGAUAUAAAAUCGACUGUACACUGAAUAAUUUUGUAGGGAGAUCUUUUGAGAAGAAAAUAAGUGCCUUAGAAGAAAAGAAAAUGUAAUUUCCCAUUGCAUGUAUUAAUUAGAUUACUGAAUUCUUUCCCUCGAGAAGAAAUAAUUUAACUCAGUCAUUUCUGUCCUUUCUUUCGGGUUUAAUCUUCAUAAAAGUGGUUGAGUUUUGGCGUUGGCUCGCCAAGCCUAUCAAGCUUGUCCAACAUUGUCUGAGAUAGUUUGGGCAUAUUCAGCACAGGCCUCCUGAAGCUCUCGUGCAUAGCGGAUAGCUAAAGCAUGCUGAUACUGUCAAGAGAGGUCGGGGUAGACCGAACUUGACAUGGGAGGAGUCCGUAAAGAGAGAUAUGAAGAACUGGUGUACCAUCAAAGAACUAGCCAUGGACAGGGGUGCGUGGAAACUUGCUAUCCAUGUGCCAGAACCAUGAGUUAGAUGCAUUAUCUUAUGGGUUUCACCUCUAGCCUACCCCAACUUGUUUGGGACUAAAGGCUUUGUUAUUAUUAUUGUUAUUGUUACAUUUCUGUCCUUUCUAGGAGGAUUUCAAUUGUUUUCCCAAUUUUCCUUCCACCAUUUUGUAACCCUUUGCAGAACCGUCUGGGGAGGUUCGCAGCAUUGUCUACUCAUCUGAUGGGAAAUCGGUAUCUGUUAUCUAUCAUGUGGUUAUGGAACUGAUACAGAUGACCCUUCUUUGCCUGGGGGUUAUAUGUGGUUCAGUUUGCAGAAUCUUGUUUGGUUUUACAUUGAUCUUACAUGCUCAAUUUUUAAGCGUAUAACCAGUUUGUAGGUCCAAAUAUUUGGUAUGUGGACGUGACCAAUGGGGCAUGGAGAUUAUGGUGAGGCAUGGUGCUGUGGUGGCGGCGGUGAAGGUAACCUCGUCGAAGGCGGUGUCGCUGGAUGGCUAUCGAUGAAAGCGGCAUGGGGAUGGGGGAGGUGGAGUGUCGAGGGAUGGAGGCAUCGAACGGCAGCCAGGGAGACGGGGUUGCAGUGAGAUUGGACUAGCUUGCCUAGGAGUGUGGGCAAGAUUUCCUUUCCAGGAUGGCCGAGGGUUUCUCUCUCUCUCUCUCUCUGUGUGUGUGUGUGUGUGUGUGUGUGUGUGUGUGUGUGUGUGUGUGUCAAUAGACCAUAAACUUUUCUUCAUUUAUAGUGCUAAAGAUAUGUCAAUACAUGUUCUUACAUUUAGGCUCCUAAACUUGUUGAAUGAGUUCUAUAUACAAGAUUUAAGUUGUCCUUCUAUAAAUUAAGACUGCCUUUGCUAAUCUUUGUUGCAUUGCUAUUGAUGAGUCUAUAAUUGUCAACCUGGACAGUAACAACACUAUCGUUUUAUCUCUCAAUGUGAGCAAGUAAGAUUUUGUUCAGAGCUUUAUUCUAUUGGAUUAUUUUUCUAUUACAGAAGUUGAUGCUCGAUCUUGUUAUUCAUUUCCUGGGAUCAUUUCUUAGUCUACUGCAUCAUUAACAAGAGCUUGGGGAUUGCUUCGAGGAUUCUGCGGAUUUCUCCCAUAACCUCUUGUAGUGACACAAUGCUAUGAUCUUCAACCAUAAAAAUGAAACCGUCAGCAUUGAUGGCCUGCUCCUAUGAUCUCACAGAGCGUCACCAAUGGUGAUAGCGUUGUGUCAAGGAGAAGGUGGAGAGGGAGAAAGAGAAAAGGAGAAUGGAAGCCAAGUGAUAGACAAAGGGAGUGAAAGAUAGAAGACAGGCAAUAACUUCUGUUCUCUUACUAACGCUUUAUUUAUUGAGGACCUGUAUCAAUGCACAGUUAUUUAUCGCUGUAUGAUGAAAACAUUUGGCGACUCAAACAGACAAAAAAUAAACAAAUUUUAUGUCCUUU